rnacentral:rRNA from 1 species
CCUACGGGAGGCAGCAGUGGGGAAUAUUGCGCAAUGGGGGAAACCCUGACGCAGCAACGCCGCGUGAGUGAGGAAGGACUUCGGUCUGUAAAGCUCUGUUAAUGUGGAAAAAUGGUAGUUGGUCUAAUAGGCCGAUUAUUUGAUGGUACACAUAGAGGAAGCACCGGCUAACUUCGUGCCAGCAGCCGCGGUAAUACGAAGGGUGCAAGCGUUGUUCGGAUUUAUUGGGCGUAAAGCGCGCGUAGGCGGACCUGCAAGUCAGAUGUGAAAUCUCGGGGCUCAACCUCGAAACUGCGUCUGAAACUACAGGUCUAGAAUCUUGGAGGGGGAAGGGGAAUUUCUCAUGUAGGGGUAAAAUCCGUAGAUAUGAGAAGGAACACCAGAGGCGAAGGCGCCUUCCUGGACAAGUAUUGACGCUGAGGCGCGAAAGCGUGGGGACCAAACAGGAUUAGAUACCCUGGUAGUCCACGCUGUAAACGAUGAAUACUAGAUAUUGCAGGAUUUGACCCCAGCAGUGUCGUAGCUAACGCGUUAAGUAUUCCGCCUGGGAAGUACGGUGCAAGACUAAAACUUAAAGGAAUUGACGG